UGGUCAUUACCAAGGCUUUUGGAAUGCAGUUUCUGAUUUGCUGUGGACAUGACCAUAAAAAAUCUCCCACUGGGCUUUUUUUCUGCUACCUUGCUAGCAAGCAGUCUACUGGGAACAUUU